rnacentral:rRNA from 1 species
GGUCAAGUGAAGAAGCGCAUACGGUGGAUGCCUUGGCAGUCAGAGGCGAUGAAAGACGUGAGCCUGCGAAAAGCUUCGGGGAGUCGGCAAACAGACUUUGAUCCGGAGAUGUCGAAUGGGGGAACCAGCCAUCAUAAGAUGGUAUCUUGUACUGAAUACAUAGGUGCAAGAGGCGAACCAGGGGAACUGAAACAUCUAAGUACCCUGAGGAAAAGAAAUCAACCGAGAUUCCCUUAGUAGUGGCGAGCGAACGGGGACUAGCCCUUAAGUGGCUUUGAUUAGCGGAACGCUCUGGAAAGUGCGGCCAUAGUGGGUGAUAGCCCUGUACGCGAAAAUCUCUUAGUCAUGAAAUCGAGUAGGACGGAGCACGAGAAACUUUGUCUGAAUAUGGGGGGACCAUCCUCCAAGGCUAAAUACUACUGACUGACCGAUAGUGAACUAGUACCGUGAGGGAAAGGCGAAAAGAACCCCGGAGAGGGGAGUGAAAUAGAUCCUGAAACCGUAUGCGUACAAGCAGUGGGAGCCUACUUUGUUAGGUGACUGCGUACCUUUUGUAUAAUGGGUCAGCGACUUAUUUUCAGUGGCGAGCUUAACCGAAUAGGGGAGGCGUAGCGAAAGCGAGUCUUAAUAGGGCGUCUAGUCGCUGGGAAUAGACCCGAAACCGGGCGAUCUAUCCAUGGGCAGGUUGAAGGUUGGGUAACACUAACUGGAGGACCGAACCGACUACCGUUGAAAAGUUAGCGGAUGACCUGUGGAUCGGAGUGAAAGGCUAAUCAAGCUCGGAGAUAGCUGGUUCUCCUCGAAAGCUAUUUAGGUAGCGCCUCAUGUAUCACUGUAGGGGGUAGAGCACUGUUUCGGCUAGGGGGUCAUCCCGACUUACCAAACCGAUGCAAACUCCGAAUACCUACAAGUGCCGAGCAUGGGAGACACACGGCGGGUGCUAACGUCCGUCGUGAAAAGGGAAACAACCCAGACCGUCAGCUAAGGUCCCAAAGUUAUGGUUAAGUGGGAAACGAUGUGGGAAGGCUUAGACAGCUAGGAGGUUGGCUUAGAAGCAGCCACCCUUUAAAGAAAGCGUAAUAGCUCACUAGUCGAGUCGGCCUGCGCGGAAGAUGUAACGGGGCUCAAACCAUACACCGAAGCUACGGGUAUCACGUAAGUGAUGCGGUAGAGGAGCGUUCUGUAAGCCUGUGAAGGUGAGUUGAGAAGCUUGCUGGAGGUAUCAGAAGUGCGAAUGCUGACAUGAGUAACGACAAUGGGUGUGAAAAACACCCACGCCGAAAGACCAAGGUUUCCUGCGCAACGUUAAUCGACGCAGGGUUAGUCGGUCCCUAAGGCGAGGCUGAAAAGCGUAGUCGAUGGAAAACAGGUUAAUAUUCCUGUACUUCUGGUUAUUGCGAUGGAGGGACGGAGAAGGCUAGGCCAGCUUGGCGUUGGUUGUCCAAGUUUAAGGUGGUAGGCUGAGAUCUUAGGUAAAUCCGGGAUCUUAAGGCCGAGAGCUGAUGACGAGCUAACUUUUAGUUAGCGAAGUGGUUGAUGCCAUGCUUCCAAGAAAAGCUUCUAAGCUUCAGGUAACCAGGAACCGUACCCCAAACCGACACAGGUGGUUGGGUAGAGAAUACCAAGGCGCUUGAGAGAACUCGGGUGAAGGAACUAGGCAAAAUGGCACCGUAACUUCGGGAGAAGGUGCGCCGGUGAGGGUGAAGGACUUGCUCCGUAAGCUCAUGCCGGUCGAAGAUACCAGGCCGCUGCGACUGUUUAUUAAAAACACAGCACUCUGCAAACACGAAAGUGGACGUAUAGGGUGUGACGCCUGCCCGGUGCCGGAAGGUUAAUUGAUGGGGUUAGCUAACGCGAAGCUCUUGAUCGAAGCCCCGGUAAACGGCGGCCGUAACUAUAACGGUCCUAAGGUAGCGAAAUUCCUUGUCGGGUAAGUUCCGACCUGCACGAAUGGCGUAACGAUGGCGGCGCUGUCUCCACCCGAGACUCAGUGAAAUUGAAAUCGCUGUGAAGAUGCAGUGUAUCCGCGGCUAGACGGAAAGACCCCGUGAACCUUUACUAUAGCUUUGCACUGGACUUUGAAUUUGCUUGUGUAGGAUAGGUGGGAGGCUUUGAAGCGUGGACGCCAGUUCGCGUGGAGCCAUCCUUGAAAUACCACCCUGGCAACUUUGAGGUUCUAACUCAGGUCCGUUAUCCGGAUCGAGGACAGUGUAUGGUGGUAGUUUGACUGGGGCGGUCUCCUCCUAAAGAGUAACGGAGGAGUACGAAGGUGCGCUCAGACCGGUCGGAAAUCGGUCGUAGAGUAUAAAGGCAAAAGCGCGCUUGACUGCGAGACAGACACGUCGAGCAGGUACGAAAGUAGGUCUUAGUGAUCCGGUGGUUCUGUAUGGAAGGGCCAUCGCUCAACGGAUAAAAGGUACUCCGGGGAUAACAGGCUGAUACCGCCCAAGAGUUCAUAUCGACGGCGGUGUUUGGCACCUCGAUGUCGGCUCAUCACAUCCUGGGGCUGAAGCCGGUCCCAAGGGUAUGGCUGUUCGCCAUUUAAAGUGGUACGCGAGCUGGGUUUAGAACGUCGUGAGACAGUUCGGUCCCUAUCUGCCGUGGACGUUUGAGAUUUGAGAGGGGCUGCUCCUAGUACGAGAGGACCGGAGUGGACGAACCUCUGGUGUUCCGGUUGUCACGCCAGUGGCAUUGCCGGGUAGCUAUGUUCGGAAUAGAUAACCGCUGAAAGCAUCUAAGCGGGAAACUAGCCUCAAGAUGAGAUCUCACUGGAACCUUGAGUUCCCUGAAGGGCCGUCGAAGACUACGACGUUGAUAGGUUGGGUGUGUAAGCGCUGUGAGGCGUUGAGCUAACCAAUACUAAUUGCCCGUGAGGCUUGACCAU